rnacentral:rRNA from 1 species
CUACGGGUUGCAGCAGUGGGGAAUAUUGCACAAUGGGCGCAAGCCUGAUGCAGCCAUGCCGCGUGUAUGAAGAAGGCCUUCGGGUUGUAAAGUACUUUCAGCGGGGAGGAAGGGAGUAAAGUUGAUACCUUUGCUCAUUGACGUUACCCGCAGAAGAAGCACCGGCUAACUCCGUGCCAGCAGCCGCGGUAAUACGGAGGGUGCAAGCGGUAAUCGGAAUUACUGGGCGUAAAGCGCACGCAGGCGGUUUGUUAAGUCAGAUGUGAAAUCCCCGGGCUCAACCUGGGAACUGCAUCUGAUACUGGCAAGCUUGAGUCUCGUAGAGGGGGGUAGAAUUCCAGGUGUAGCGGUGACAUGCGUAGAGAUCUGGAGGAAUACCGGUGGCGAAGGCGGCCCCCUGGACGAAGACUGACGCUCAGGUGCGAAAGCGUGGGGAGCAAACAGGAUUAGAUACCCGCGUAGUC